rnacentral:misc_RNA from 1 species
AACGCACAUUGCGCCCGCCAGUACUCUGGCGGGCAUGCCUGUUCGAGCGUCAUUUCAACCCUCAAGCCCCCGGCUUGGUGUUGGGGCCCUGCGGCUGCCGCAGGCCCCGAAAUGCAGUGGCGGGCUCGCGGCGAACUCCGAGCGUAGUAGAAUCCUAUCUCGCUAGGGAGGCGCGGCGCGCUCCGGCCGCUAAAGGAACUUCUUUUAACCCAAGGUUGACCUCGGAUCAGGUAGGAAUACCCGCUGAACUUAA